GUGGGGAAUCUUCCGCAAUGGACGAAAGUCUGACGGAGCAACGCCGCGUGAGUGAAGAAGGUUUUCGGAUCGUAAAGCUCUUUCGUUAGGGACGAACGUGCUCUUUGUGAAUAAUGAGGAGUAAUGACGGUACCUAAAUAAGAAGCCACGGCUAACUACGUGCCAGCAGCCGCGGUAAUACGUAGGUGGCAAGCGUUGUCCGGAAUUAUUGGGCGUAAAGCGCGCGCAGGCGGGAUAUCAAGUCUGUCUUAAAAGUGCGAAGCUCAACCUCGUGAGUGGACAGAAACUGGUAUUCUUGAGUGUCGGAUAUGAAAGUGGAAUUCCAAGUGUAGCGGUGAAAUGCGUAGAGAUUUGGAAGAACACCAGUGGCGAAGGCGACUUUCUGGACGAUGUCUGACGCUGAGGCGCGAAAGCUAGGGGAGCGAACGGGAUUAGAAACCCCUGUAGUCC
rnacentral:rRNA from 1 species